rnacentral:rRNA from 1 species
AUGAGCCUGAAGUUCCAGAACGACUCCGGCUACGACACUACGGGGGUGAACACCGCGGCGAAGGGCGCCCUGGACAACAGCUACUACCACGCCAACCUCCAGAACAGGGUGCUUUUCAAGUCCGACUGGGUUAUGCGCACGGACAUCAAAGCCGGGGGCGACAUGGCCGAGUACAUGAACAAUGCCACCAAGUGGAACAAUGACUUCGCCGCCACCAUGGUCAAGCUCAGCAAGCUCCCGGCCGAGGGUAGUACCCAUUACGAGAUAAGGAAGAACUGCAGAGUCACCAACCAGAACCAAGGGCAUCACCUAUAG